rnacentral:misc_RNA from 1 species
AAACUCUACGGAUUCUCUUGUAUGGGGCCACCUGUCUUGCCACAAAAUCCAUUACAGCACUCUCAUAUAAAUGACUUCCAUCCUUUCUUACAACAUAUGCCAUGGGAAACUGCCCAGCCUCCUUGUCAGGAAACGGUAUUACAGCAGCAUCAGCAAUUUCCGUAUGAGUAAGCAACAAGGCCUCUAGCUCCGCAGGAGGGACCUGAUAUCCCUUGUA